rnacentral:lncRNA from 1 species
UCCAGGGAUGGGGACUCCACCAUUCCCUGGGCAGCCCCUUCCAGUGCCUGACCACCCUUUCCAUGAAGGAAUUCCUCCCUCUGGUCCCGUCCUCCUCAUUCCCUGGGAGCAGAGCCCGACCCUCGGCUGACCCCCCCCCCCAUUCCCGGCAGCGGGAGCGAGCGGGGUGCGGAGGAUGCUGGAAUGCAUAAUACAGCACCAGGGAGCUCAAUAAUUCAUCUGCCACCCAGGAACAGCCGCCUUGCUCCGCUCCCUCUCAUCCAGGCCCUGCUCUCAGCCUUCCAGCAUUCCUGCCCCACGAUGUCCUUAACUUUUGUCACUUUGAGCCGGGCCCGGCGCCUGGAGCGGCUGAUCCGAAGUGACAGGGCUUCCAGCUCCUUUGGAAGUGCCUCCGAGAGAGGGACUAGCAGGGAUUUGACAGGAGUCCAGCUUUGUUCCCUUCCCGGCCCUGCUGCUCCCUGGGGAUGGGAGGCAGGCUGCUGGCUCAGGGAUCCAGAUGAGCCCCAGGUCACCCCAAAUCAGGCCGUGCUCGGUGCUCCAGUGUCCAGGGGGCUUGGCAGCUUCGCCUGCCCCCAUGGAUUGCCCCUUCCCAAAGGCCUGGGCACAGCCCUGUGUUGUUUUUCCCUGGUUGUUGCAGUUGGGGUCUGUGGUGGACGAAUCCAUGGAACUGCCCCGGAGCUCACACCACAAACAGAACGGGAGGGGGUUCUUUUGGGAGGCAAAACAUCCCAGAGCAGGAGGGUUUGGGAGGGAGGGAGGCUGUGGGGGUGACUGGGAGGUGGCACUGACAGAUCCCUGGUCCGACCUGUUCUGGCAUCCUCGUUCCGUGUUUGUCUCCCGUGCCCGUGUCACGCUCCAGCUCCACAGGGCCCUCCUUGUGCUCCUCUGACGGAGAGGAAACAUCUCAGCACAAUGCUUGGCACAGCUGCAGGAAAACAGGCUCAGAAUUCCAGCACCUCGCUCGUGCCGGGACCGCGUGUGCCCGGCACCGCCAGCCCUGGGCUGGGACACGGAGCAGCCCCUUCCCUGCUGCCUCCCUGCUGCUCUGCCUGGCCCAGCUGGGCACCAGACCCACCAUCCCACCCCUGGGGGGGAGCAGGGUCCUGUCCUGGUUGUGCAGGUUGGGAUCUGUGCCCUCAGCUCCCGAGGCUUUGCCUUCCCUGCACAGGGAAGCGUGAGGUGAUCCUGGGGACUGCUCCUGAAACAUCCUGAGGCCCCUUUCCCUGCUUCCAUGACAUCUUUGUGUGGGGUUUGGGGCCCCUUUUGCCUCCUGUCACGGCCUUUCCGUGGGAUUUGCAGCCCCUUUUCCUGCUCCCACGGUGUCUCCAUGAGGUUUGGGGUCCCUUUUCCUUCCGUCACACCGACUCCAUGGGGUUUGCAGCCCCUUUUUCUGCUUCCAUGGCAUCUCCAUGGGGUUUGUGGCCCCUUUUCCUUCUGCCAUGGCAUCCCUGCGAGGUUUGGGGCUCCUUUUUCUGCUGUCACAGCAUUAAAGCCCAUCCAGUCCCACCCCCUGCCAUGGGCUGGGACAC